rnacentral:sRNA from 1 species
UUACAGAAUGCCAAUUUGAAAACUCAC